rnacentral:rRNA from 1 species
GACGAACGCUGGCGGCGUGCUUAACACAUGCAAGUCGAACGGAAAGGCCCCUUUGGGGGUACUCGAGUGGCGAACGGGUGAGUAACACGUGAGUAACCUGCCCUUGACUUCGGGAUAACUUCAGGAAACUGGGGCUAAUACCGGAUAGGAAUCCUUGCUGCAUGGUGGGGGUUGGAAAGCUUCGGCGGUUUUGGAUGGACUCGCGGCUUAUCAGCUUGUUGGUGGGGUAGUGGCUUACCAAGGCUUUGACGGGUAGCCGGCCUGAGAGGGCGACCGGCCACAUUGGGACUGAGAUACGGCCCAGAUUCCUACGGGAGGCAGCAGUGGGGAAUAUUGCACAAUGGGCGGAAGCCUGAUGCAGCAACGCCGCGUGCGGGAUGACGGCCUUCGGGUUGUAAACCGCUUUCAGCAGGGGCGAAGCUUGUGGUGACGGUACCUGCAGAAGAAGCACCGGCUAACUACGUG